AUUGAACGCUGGCGGCAGGCCUAACACAUGCAAGUCGAGCGAGCGGCGGACGGGUGAGUAAUGUCGGGGAAACUGCCGGAUGGAGGGGGAUAACUACGGGAAACGGUAGCUAAUACCGCAUAACAUCAGAUGUGCCCAGGUGGGAUUAGCUAGUAGGUGGGGUAACGGCUCACCUAGGCGACGAUCCCUAGCUGGUCUGAGAGGAUGACCAGUCACCCUGGACCUGAGACACGGUCCAGACUCCUACGGGAGGCAGCAGUGGGGAAUAUUGCACAAUGGGCGCAAGCCUGAUGCAGCCAUGCCGCGUGUGUGAAGAAGGCCUUCGGGUUGUAAAGCACUUUCAGCUGGGAGGCGUUACCCGCAGAAGAAGCACCGGCUAACUCCGUGCCAGCAGCCGCGGUAAUAC
rnacentral:rRNA from 1 species